GUUGGUUUUGAACCCUUCAUUAUGAAGUCCCAAUGAAAGUCCAUUUUAAAACAGUGAGAAACUUAGUGUCUUGAUAAAUACAAGGAAACUAGAGAGGCAAGGCCAGUACAAAUGUCAGUGUCAGCAAGAUAGAGCCCUGGAGAUGCAUUCAAGUCAAGGUUGGAAAUCUUUAGGGGAAAAGGGUGUAGAUCCUCAGCUCUCACUGCGACGGACAUCUUAAAUCAUUGCAACGUUCAGGAGCCAGAACCAUUUUCUUCCGAUUUCUCUUUCUCUCUGCAUCUGUGAUUUACCAAAUUAAGCUUUCUGGCCAUACCAGGCGUUGAAUGACAUCCGCGUCUCUUCGAGAAAGGACUGAGUACUUUCUGAUUACUGGACAGAAAGAAUGCAAGCUUUUCCCCUUUUAUGCGUUUUUCAAACCAACUGCUCUGGUGUAAAUAAAAUAUUUUUAAAAUGUAUCUGCCCUAUUUUAGGCUAAGACCAAAUGUUUCCCAAAAUAUGGAAGUCACGAAUUAUGGCUAAAAGGAUGUUAUGGGUAAAAAACGCUGUCUCAGCUCUGGUUGAGGCACAUGGCCCCCAGAUCAGACCUUAUUCCUAAAUGUUUCUGCAUCAGUAAGGCCAAAUAAGUCAAAGUACACCCAACAGAGUAGCCAGCACAGCCCACUCCCAGGACAGGAAGCCCCAGGAAUCCUGUUGCUGCCCCAGGAAUCCAGUUGCUAGGAGACAUUUGUCUUUGUCCAGCAGCAGGAAGAUGGCCUUGAGUAACUCUGGUUGGCUUUGGACAAGCUGUGAAUCAGGCUGUCCUUGCUAGCCCUGUCCUCCCAGCAGGACCAACUAAUCCCUGAGGGUCAAUGAGCUACAAACACAGGAUGGCUCAGUCUUUGCCUGUGUUUCUAAUUCAGAAGGGAAUGGCUGUGUUUCUAAUUCAGGACGGAAUGGCUGUGUCUCAGUUUUACCCUGCGUAUCACCAGUUUGAGCCCUCUUCCCUCCUGAACGCUGUAAUCCUCGAGAAGACAACUAAAGAAGAGACGUGUGAAGAGCUUCCACUUGUCAUGGGAGCUCUCUGUGUCCUCGAGAACCCUUGUUCAGUAAGGACUGAAAGGUGACCAUGGGGACGUAGCCAGGCUACUUGAGGAGGGUGCGACAAUGCUCCUCUAACUGUGCCUGCCUGCUUCUCUAACUGUGCCUGCCUAUUUCAAACAAAACAGCUAAGUGAUGGGGUCAGAACAAAUUCCUCCAUAAUUGCCAAAGAAUGCUUUUAAUUAUUUUUAUUAUCCUAUCCUACACCCUAGGGUUAUCAGUGGAGAAAUACUCUCUAGAAUUUCAAGGGGAGACAUGUUGGAAAUUUGUCAGC
rnacentral:lncRNA from 1 species